rnacentral:rRNA from 1 species
AGGACGAACGCUGGCGGCGUGCUUAACACAUGCAAGUCGAGCGGUGAUCCUCCUUCGGGAGGUGAUCAGCGGCGAACGGGUGAGUAACACGUGGGCAACCUGCCCCUCACACUGGGAUAACCUCGGGAAACCGGGGCUAAUACCGGAUACGACCUCGAGCGGCAUCUCUUGAGGUGGAAAGCUCCGACGGUGAGGGAUGGGCCCGCGGCCUAUCAGCUUGUUGGUGGGGUAAUGGCCUACCAAGGCGACGACGGGUAGCCGGCCUGAGAGGGCGACCGGCCACACUGGGACUGAGACACGGCCCAGACUCCUACGGGAGGCAGCAGUGGGGAAUAUUGCGCAAUGGGCGAAAGCCUGACGCAGCGACGCCGCGUGAGGGAUGAAGGCCUCGGGUUGUAAACCUCUUUCAGCAGGGACGAAGCGAAAGUGACGGUACCUGCAGAAGAAGCACCGGCUAACUACGUGCCAGCAGCCGCGGUAA